rnacentral:rRNA from 1 species
UACGUAGGGUGCAAGCGUUGUCCGGAAUCAUUGGGCGUAAAGCGCGUGUAGGCGGCUUGCUAAGUCCGCUCUGAAAGCCCGGGGCUCAACCCCGGGCCUGCAUUCGAUACGGGCGGACUAGAGUUCGGUAGGGGAGUCUGGAAUUCCUGGUGUAGCGGUGAAAUGCGCAGAUAUCAGGAGGAACACCGGUGGCGAAGGCGGGACUCUGGGCCGAUACUGACGCUGAGGAGCGAAAGCGUGGGGAGCAAACAGG